UGACGCUGCAACUUACUAUUGUGUGAAGAAGGAGAGUCAGAGGUCCGUGUUUGGGAAUGGAGUCACGCUGACUUAUGAGGAGACGUACAAAAAUCAAACUUCAAAUUCCUCUUCCUCUGAGAAUGUCACCUGUGCCAGCUGGCACCAAGAUGUGACGUUGUAUAAAUACUCCACCAUUGCACUAGCUGGGACUUUGGGCCUCGUGGUGCUGGUUGCUUUGUAGUUAAAAAUCAAAGAUCUCAUUUUCUCCCCAGUCCCACAGGACCAGCAGACUCAAGAGAAUGACACACAAUAUGCAGCUUUAGAUUUUAAAACAAAGCAAAGGAA